AUGUCUCUGGGUCAAGAGGGACCGGGAGACUCGACUAUCGCUUGGGAAUCCGCACAAUAACUCGGUGGCGUACAUGUUCAUCUGCGUCAUGGUAUUCCAUUCACAAUACUUUUCGCGGAAAUUCAUUGAAGAGACGUGGCGUCUGACGUGGCAUUGAGCAGAUAAUAAAAGUUCCAUUUGGUGGAUGUUCUGGG